GAUGAACGCUGGCGGCGUGCCUAAUACAUGCAAGUCGAGCGAACAGAUGAGGAGCUUGCUCCUCUGACGUUAGCGGCGGACGGGUGAGUAACACGUGGAUAACCUACCUAUAAGACUGGGAUAACUUCGGGAAACCGGAGCUAAUACAGGAUAAUAUAUUGAACCGCAUGGUUCAAUAGUGAAAGACGGUUUUGCUGUCACUUAUAGAUGGAUCCGCGCCGCAUUAGCUAGUUGGUAAGGUAACGGCUUACCAAGGCGACGAUGCGUAGCCGACCUGAGAGGGUGAUCGGCCACACUGGAACUGAGACACGGUCCAGACUCCUACGGGAGGCAGCAGUAGGGAAUCUUCCGCAAUGGGCGAAAGCCUGACGGAGCAACGCCGCGUGAGUGAUGAAGGUCUUCGGAUCGUAAAACUCUGUUAUUAGGGAAGAACAAAUGUGUAAGUAACUAUGCACGUCUUGACGGUACCUAAUCAGAAAGCCACGGCUAACUACGUG
rnacentral:rRNA from 1 species